rnacentral:rRNA from 1 species
GUAGUUAGCCGGGGCUUUCUUACAGGGUACCGUCACUUCUUCGUCCCCUGCGACAGAGGUUUACUAAUCCGAAAACCCUUACUUCCCUCACGCGGCGUUGCUGGGUCAGGCUUGCGCCCAUUGCCCAAUAUUCCCCACCUGCUGCCUCCCGUAGGAGUCUGGACCGUGUCUCAGUUCCAGUGUGGCCGAUCAGCCUCUCAGCUCGGCUACCCAUCGUCGGCUUGGUGGGCUGUUAUCUCACCAACUACCUAAUGGGACGCGAACCCCUCUAAAAGCGAUAAAUCUUUGACCUCUUCCCGAUGCCGGGUUGUGGUCUUAUGCGGUAUUAGCAGUUGUUUCCACCUGUUAUUCCCCACUCUUAGGCAGGUUGUUCACGCGUUACUCACCCGUGCGCCACUAGAAUUAUCAAUUCCAUCCGAAAACUUCCUUAAUAAUCCCCGUUCGACUUGCAUGUGUUAGGCACGCCGCCAGCGUUCGUCCUGAGCCAGGAUCAAACUACUGA